GACGAACGCUGGCGGCGUGCUUAACACAUGCAAGUCGAACGAAGUGGCGAACGGGUGAGUAACGCGUAAUCAACCUGCCCUUCAGAGGGGGACAACAGUUGGAAACGACUGCUAAUACCGCAUACUGAAGGAGGGGAUUGCGUCUGAUUGGCUAGUUGGAGGGGUAACGGCCCACCAAGGCGAUGAUCAGUAGCCGGUCGUAGAGGAGGAACGGCAACAUUGGGACUGAGACAAGGCCCAGACGCCUAAGGGAGGCAGCAGUAGGGAAUCAUCCGCAAUGGACGAAAGUCUGACGGAGCAACGCCGAGGGAGUGAUGACGGCCUUCGGGUGGUAAAGCUCUGUUAAUCGGGACGCGGUACCGGAAUAGAAAGCCACGGCUAACUACGUGCCAGCCGCCGCGGUAAUUC
rnacentral:rRNA from 1 species